rnacentral:rRNA from 1 species
AUGAAGAACGUGUCUGGAUUUGAUGCCGCAAGCCUUGACGGUGACAUGCAGUUUGAGCCUCAUACGAAGGUAGCAGCUGUAUCUCGCUGUUUCCGUUCUGGAUUUUUAACGGCCACAAGCGGAGUAGAUCUUGCCCCUCCAAACCCUCUUACCAGUGAAACAAUUGUAAGCACAUGCCGGGUCCAGAAGGCAGGGAUUGGAGGACCCCUUGUUGAUUUUGAUGGGAGCUUUGUUGGGAUGAACUCCUCCCGUACCAAAAUGAAAAAGACUGCCUACUUGCCAAGGAAGCAAAUUCUUCAUUUCUUGGCAUUUCACAGGAUGGUCAGUGUUAAAGUUAAGGAAGGGGUUGAUGAUGCUACGAGAGCAAGAAUGAACAGUGAGAUGAAAGCAAUUAGGCCAAGUUUGGAUGCUACCUCCAUAGCGAAAUUGAGUGAAUCCAGAAAAGGCGCCUUGAGUAAGCAAGUACUUUCCAGAUUAAGUAUGAGUGUUGUGGCGCUGGCCUCAUUCCAUGGUGAUACCAAGUUACGCGAAUGCACAGGCAUAUGCAUCGAAAGCUCAUGUCCCGAUGCUACAAGUUUCCUCACAUCGAUAAAUUUGAUUCCACUUACUUGGCAUGCAAGCAAGAUCACUAAAAAUUUGACGAUUAAAGUACGCCUUCCGAAUGAUCAGAUUGUCACUGGGUAG